UACGUAGGGUGCAAGCGUUGUCCGGAAUUAUUGGGCGUAAAGAGCUCGUAGGCGGUUUGUCGCGUCGGCUGUGAAAGCCCGGAGCUCAACUCCGGGUCUGCAGUCGAUACGGGCAGACUUGAGUGUUGCAGGGGGAGACUGGAAUUCCUGGUGUAGCGGUGAAAUGCGCAGAUAUCAGGAGGAACACCGGUGGCGAAGGCGGGUCUCUGGGCCGAAAACUGACGCUGAGGAGCGAAAGCGUGGGGGAGCGAACAGG
rnacentral:rRNA from 1 species